UACGUAGGGUGCGAGCGUUAAUCGGAAUUACUGGGCGUAAAGGGUGCGCAGGCGGUCCCGCAAGUCAGGCGUGAAAUCCCCGAGCUUAACUUGGGAAUUGCGCUUGAAACUAGGGGACUUGAGUGUGGCAGAGGGAGGUGGAAUUCCACGUGUAGCGGUGAAAUGCGUAGAUAUGUGGAGGAACACCGAUGGCGAAGGCAGCCUCCUGGGCCAACACUGACGCUCAUGCACGAAAGCGUGGGGAGCAAACAGG
rnacentral:rRNA from 1 species